rnacentral:sRNA from 1 species
AGUCAGAAACUGCCUAGCAUUCAAGCUGGUGUAUAAGGGAUGGUUAAUCCCGCCCACGCUGAUGGCUGUUAGUCGCUAUGCCGUCCAUCAAGGAUACCUGAUGGAUUACAAAUGCCGAUUCGGUUGGCUGGUCUGAAAGAAAGGGCUGCGCGUGUCAUUGAAGGUAGCAAAUCGGCAGAAAAAUGCACUGUCGGGUCCGCACUCAUAACGGUAAUAAUCGUCCUCAGCAUAAUGGUGGUUUGGCGACCAUCAGAACCAACGGGGGAUGCCACUAAGAGUGCUUCGUAGUUGAACCGGGUAACGCCGGGUAUAAGGACUUAGAUGGGUACGAGUGGGGAUAAUCUACGCAUACAGAAAAUCCAAAAUUGGAUACAAAUAUGCCUACAAUUCCUGAAAGUUGGCGGUCAUCGUACCGGCCCGGACCAUGUGAGACGUCAACAGCAUAUCGGGUAGCUCCUGAUAUGUAGGCGUUGGCGAGUCCGUAGCAUAAUAUUUCUAGGAUUUAAGCGAGCCACGCAAACCAAUGCGGAAUGCU